rnacentral:rRNA from 1 species
GCACAGAGAGCUUGCUCUCGGGUGACGAGUGGCGGACGGGUGAGUAAUGUCUGGGAAACUGCCUGAUGGAGGGGGAUAACUACUGGAAACGGUAGCUAAUACCGCAUAACGUCGCAAGACCAAAGAGGGGGACCUUCGGGCCUCUUGCCAUCAGAUGUGCCCAGAUGGGAUUAGCUAGUAGGUGGGGUAACGGCUCACCUAGGCGACGAUCCCUAGCUGGUCUGAGAGGAUGACCAGCCACACUGGAACUGAGACACGGUCCAGACUCCUACGGGAGGCAGCAGUGGGGAAUAUUGCACAAUGGGCGCAAGCCUGAUGCAGCCAUGCCGCGUGUAUGAAGAAGGCCUUCGGGUUGUAAAGUACUUUCAGCGGGGAGGAAGGUGUUGUGGUUAAUAACCRCAGCAAUUGACGUUACCCGCAGAAGAAGCA